AAAAAUUUUCUUUUUCUUUUUACUAACUCUACAUGAGAGCAAAAACUAAUUUCUCCCCAACAACAACACGUUCAAGCAAGGAUCACAAAACUGAGGAUAAAGUCAUAAGAAACUACCACAGCGAUCUCUGAGCCGAAGACUGUCCAAAACAACCUACUUGGUUAUCCCAAAGAUUCCAGAAGAUACCUUUCUACCUUUCUGCCUUUCGCCUCAUCUUCCCUGAUCUGGAAAUGGUCAAACUUGGUGUUAUUGUGUAGCCCUCGGAAAGAGAUUUUCAGAAUGUUAUGGCACACCUCCCAACUAUUCCCGGAUUGAAAGAUACAGACGUUUCAUCAAACCGUGCAGCGAUUAAAGGAAUGAACUUCGAGGUUAUGGGACCCACAUGGCCCAAUCGCAGGUACAACUGCGCGAACUCCUAACACAGUUACGCAUGGCAUACAAGUACUGUCGUCUCAUACACUAUUAUGUUAUCCUUAACAAGAAUCAACAAAUUCAUACGUUAUUAUAUUUAGAUCUAAUAUAAGAUUCCUCUUUCAAUUCCAUCAAAGAUAUCAAAUUAAUUGCUAGCUAGACAAUUAAUAGAUUAAGCAAAAAAUAUAAUAAUCAACUCAAUAGGAUCAACAAGUGAAAAUAAUGAUAAUUGAAUUUUUGAAUUGCAAAAGGUUCCAUUGUAUCCCUAAUUAAGAUAGUUCAUCAUCAUAAUAGAAACAAGAAGAUCAAAAUUAAAUAACAUCAUAGGUACAGAUAAUGAAUUUAAGAGAAGAAGAAAAACUUUAUCGAGGAAUCUCCAAUCUCCAAGCUUCAAUCUCUGUCUUAAAUGUUCUCCAAUGCAAUCUCCAAGUCUCCACAAGGUAGCUCUAAAUGAAUUAUAGUCAAAAGUCCAGAAGAAGUCUCUC
rnacentral:lncRNA from 1 species